rnacentral:misc_RNA from 1 species
UUCUGUUGAGUUUCUUGGAAAGGAUUAUAGGUUGGUAUUUGGAUGAAAGCGGCUAGUUUGUAAAAUGGCUUAUAAGUAGAAUGUGGGCAAAAAGAAGAAAGGGGAUUGCAGUAAGAUGAUGGUGGGAGAAAAGGCAAGCUAUACAGCCUUUAGCUAUAGCUAUAUUUAUAAAAGAAUCUAAAUAUCUGCAUUUUUCACCCAUGAAAUUUGAGGCAAAAAAAAGAAAAACACCCUGUAAUGUAAACUCUCCAGAAUUAGCAUGCUUUCAUUUAGGAAAGAUGACAUUGGGGUUUCGUAUGUGGGGAACAAAACCUGCCAACUCCUUCCGACAAAUUGGAGUGGCAUUAGCAUGAGAGCUUAUGCUCCACAAGAAAUCAUCAUUCUGCACCUUCCUCUUCAACUGUGGGUAUGAUGCUAUAAUGGCGCUGGAUUUUGAAAAUGAAUGCUUUGAGGACUUGGUCAUGCCACUAGCAAGCAGCCAGCGCGUCCCAUAUUGUUGCUGCGUUUUGGUACCCCAGUGCGUCUUCCCAGGCUCAGAAUUCAACCCUGAAAGAUGGACUUCAGUGAUUUUAAAGCCAUGUGAAACUUCCUCUUCCUCCUCGUCUUUCUCCUCGUCCAAUCUGUUGCCACAAGUGUCUUCUUCUUGGAUCCAUUCACAAUCCUCUUCUUCAUUGUUGCUUCUCUCUGAAAUUGUUGCAUACACUUUCGGCUUAAGGUGGAAGAAAGACCUCUCUACUUGAACAAUUGCAAGCAUUGAGGCACCAACUGGCUCAUAAUUUCGAAAAGGAUCUCUAAGCAACACCAUUAGAGCUAAAGUGAGGUUGUUAUCCAACAAACCACGACUUCUUCCACAUGCUUCAUCCCAAUUAAUCUCUCUCGACAAUUUUCCAUGACUGAAGUCCAUGCACCUAGCAUGAUGGGCUGCGAGGAUCUUUUUAAUGCGCUCACUAACUUUGUCUUCAUCACCAAUGGCACCUGCAUCAAGCCUUAACCACUCCUCUAGUGUUACAGAAAGAUCCAAUAAUCUGUCAACAUCAUUACCACUAUCUCUAGGAUAAAGAGCUUGCGAUUCCGCAGCCCCUUCUGAACAGAGAAACAAACCAAGAUUGGCACUCUUCCCUUCAAAAGCCAACAUAUUUUCAAUAGAUUUGGAACAAAUGCUUGAUGGUGCCUCCUCUGACAUGCUAGACUGAAUUUUCAAACCUUCAAUUGACAUGGCUUCAAUAGUAUCCAUUGCCAAGGGAGUAAGAUAUUCAAGAGAUGCAUAGUCUGAGCCCAUCUUAGCACCAGAUAAUGAUUCAUGACACAGGGAAGUCUGCCUAGCAGGCACAGCUGCGUCAUGUGCUAUUUGUUGCAAUGUCUUCCCAGUGAUAUCCUCCAAAGGCAUUAAUUUCUUCGCCUGCUGAGACAAAUUCUUGAUUCCAAUUGAUGCCAAAUGUUGUAAUAUCUCAAUAAUAUCAGAACCCAUUUCUGCAGGUAGCACAACUGCGUGGGAAACUUGCAUGAUCAAGCUCCCAACAUUUUUAGAAUUUCUGAAAAUAGAAGGAUUCAUAGACCGCAAAUAACCCCCAUCCUUUGUCUGGACAAGAGGUCCAAAGCCAUCUCCAAGUGGAGGUAAUUUAACAGGCUCCUCAGGGAGAAGCUCAACUGGACUCCCAAAUCCAUCUGAGCAAUGGCGUGGAGAGCUUUGAAAAGCUUCCUCAUUUAAGCCCCACUGUUUCAUUAGAGUUUCAGUCUCCAAAUCUUCAAGCAACUUGGCCUUCCUUCUUCUGUUAUACAAUUGGCUAGUCCUUUGGUGCUCCUCCUCAGCAGCCUGAAUAGCCUUAUGUAAAUCAAAAUCUUCAGGAAGAUCUCCACAAUCAGACCCUGCUGGAGCAAUACAACCAAAUUCUUCUUGCUUGCCUUCUGCUUCAUAUUCAAUAAUAAAGCUUCCAGAAGCUAUGGCCUCCUUUUCAAACUCUCUUAAUAGACGCUCUCUAGGAGACUCGGGAUCACCAUGUGAAGUCAGACCCAAGGGACUAUGCUCUAUCCCCAGAAUGUUCAAGAAAUCACUUGCUACAGAUUCAGUGAUUUCAUCCAAGCUGAGAGAUUUCUUUACCGCUUUACCAGCCUUGUAGUUUGUUUUAGUCUCCAUGUAACUCUCCUGCUCUAAAAAAUCACCAAUUGCGAGUGGGGAUUCCAAUUUUUCAGAUUCUGAAGUUAAAAAGCUAUUGAAAGCUAACUCCAGAUCUUCCAUGCUAGAUCCCUUUUUACGAAAACUACUCCCUUCAUGUUUGAAGUCAUCCACCGAAACCAUAUCCACAUAAUUAUCACAGAAGUUAUCCUCUAAAUGAAGCUUAGUCUUCCUAUCAAGCUCUAUAUCAUCAUCCUUUAUAAUUUCAUCCACAUUAAUAGUUUCAAUUCUAGGACCAUCAACAAGUUGAACAUCAAACUCUUCUGAUUCCAAGUCUUCCUUUCUAGGCAUUUCUAUUCCCUUCUCAAUUAUAGUAAACUCAAUGCUAUCAUAAUCAUUUCGACUAAUAUCUUUGUCAAACUCAAACUCCAGACCAGACUUUAAUUUGAGUGGCUGCGCAUGUACAGGUAUGGUAUGAAUAUCUUCUGAACUGUGCAAUUUCACCUCAUUCAGUUUCUUAUAUAGAGAGUUUAUUGACUUGGAGAGUUCCAACCCCAGGUUUGGUGAAACUUCAUCACAAAUCUUUACAUCAACAGACUGAGAAGAGAGAUAAGAACUGUGGUUUAAAUCACUGGGAACACUUCCAACCCGCCGAAGCAUCCCAUUAUUGUUAGUUUGCCCAACAUCUGUUAUUUUAUCUACCUUAGAUGACCUAUUGUGCAUUAAGUUUACAAGCUCAGAGACAUUCAUAUUCCUUCUGGUUUCAAUUAAGUUGUCCCUGACUACAGAGAAACCUAAACUAACGUUUAGGGUAGCACCCUUGGUCUUGCCUGCAAGUUUAAAGCUUGUAGUCCAUUUACCAGUGCUUUUCUCCCCCUCUAAUUCCUCCAAAGUGAGUGGCAACAGCCUUGUGAGAUCUACCCACUGUUUCCCCAUAUCAACACCCAGAGCCCCAAUUACAGAUACAUAAAUCAAGAAAAGCUUCACUUCGUACUUUGCUGACUGGUGAGGUCCACUUCUACUACCAUAAACACAACAUUUAUGCAUCAAAGUCUCGUCAAAUUCUGCAACUCCUUUCAAGACCCUUGAUGGACGGGUCUGCAGAACCUCAUCCUUUCUUUUCCAAUGCACAGACAAAUUCAUAUCAUCAAAGCUCGGAGGCAAACCUUCAAUUGAAUGCACAUGUAGGAAGAAACAGAUAUUGAACUUUUGACGGCCAAUAUGGGCUAAAGCUUUUAAGGGAUUCUUCCAAUUCCAUACUGAUGAUAAUUUCUUGUUCUCAUACGUCACCCUUGUAUCAACAGUUCUUGGGUGCAGGCUUGACUUUGAUUCUGAUAACCGAGGUUUCUCAACUGAUUUAGAUCGAACAGAGGAUGGAGAAAUUAAAGCUUUUUGUGGGGUUUUCUGCAGGUAUAGGGCUUUGCUUAUUGCCUCAAUGUCACGCAACAAUUGAACAUUAUUUGAAUUUCCAUCGCCAUCACCAUUAGUAGAACCAAUUUUUGACAGCAUCAUCUUGGCAUCCAAAGAGAAAAAUGCAAGCUUACACACAUAACCCAAUUCACCAUAGACCCGCUUGCCAGUUUAGCAUACAACUUAAAGUCUCUCUCUUGAAUCACAAUUCUAAGACAUAAACCACAAAAUAGUAAGAGAAUUAAAAAUGUAUUUUAAAAGAAUUCACUGUUCAAACCAUCAGAAAUAUGUUCAAUAAAUCAAAUAAAAUAACAGCCAAAUCAAUUAUCAAAAUAGUGUAUUGUCUGAUCACCAUAAAAUCACAAAAAACUCCAAAAAGUGUAAAAUCAAUCCAACAUAGUGCUAAUUCAACCCCAACAAUCACUCUUCUCACAGCAAUUUCUCAGAAAUCAAACAGGAAAAAUUCCCAGAUAGCGAAAACUAACAAAUCAAUCGAACGCUAGUACACUUACCGAGAUCAGAAUUCACUUUUCCGGAGGAAAUCAAGCAAAGAAAAAAUUCCAGAGUUUACUUGCUCGAUUUCAUUUCAUGGGCUCAGUUUCUGCGCUUUCAAAGACUGAAAAGAAAGAAGAAGACAAGAGGCUUGAUAAGCGUAGCUGGUUAAGCUAACUGUAGCAUUUCUCGGGAUCGUGUAGUUUACUUGCCAAUGCUUUCCCGGAAAAUUUCACGAGACUAACGCGAGAAAAUUGAAAUUUUUUU